UACGGAGGAUCCGAGCGUUAUCCGGAUUUAUUGGGUUUAAAGGGUGCGUAGGCGGCUUGAUAAGUCAGAGGUGAAAGACGGUGGCUUAACCAUCGCAGUGCCUUUGAUACUGUUAAGCUUGAAUAUAGAUGAGGUAGGCGGAAUGUGACAAGUAGCGGUGAAAUGCAUAGAUAUGUCACAGAACACCGAUUGCGAAGGCAGCUUACUAAGGUAAUAUUGACGCUGAGGCACGAAAGCGUGGGGAUCAAACAGG
rnacentral:rRNA from 1 species